ACAAUAGCCAGGACAUGGAAACAACCUAAAUGUCCAUCAGCAAAGGAAUGGAUAAAGAAGAUGUGGUACAUAUACAAUGGAAUAUUAUUCAGCCAUAAAAAGGAAUGAAAUUGGGUCAUUGGAGAGACAUGGAUGGACAUAGAGACUCUCAUACAGAGCAAACCCGUAUCUUCCUGUAGUAUAUACUUGACUUAGAACAUGAACUUUCAAUCAGCAGUCAUUUGAAACUGUCUUAUAAAGAGUUACACAGUUCUCUAAGAAAACCACAAGACAAAAUGAAUGGCACUUUUCAUUAUUUUGAGAAGCAGCAAAGGAACAAGACAGCUUGAGCCAAGACGACUCAUUACACCAAGAGCA